UGAUGCUGUGUUCUCUAUUUCGUGUGCGUGAGUUAUCGUUAAUAAACCAAAAAGACAAAAAAAAAAAAAAAAAAGAUUCUUUCGCCUUUUACUAAAGAAUUCCGUGGAGAGGAGCAGUUCAAUGAGUCUUGAACAUUUUUCGAUAUCCGACUUUGGUCGGUUU
rnacentral:snRNA from 1 species